CCUGGAACCUGCGCCAGCUCGCUUUUCAAACUGAUUCACUGGCAACAGAAAAGGAAGGGAAAAAACCCUAAGGUCUUAGGGUGCAUUUUUUUCAUUCUCUUUCUACAGCUUAAAGGAGGGUGAAGGUCUGAGACGGGAUUUGCAGCCGUUGAAUAAUAACCAGAAAGGGAGAUUAACCAGCACUGAGGGUGCUUCCCUUGACCAGAAAUGCAAUACAUCCAGCCAGCCAAUCCCCAAACGCCAAGCCAGCUCUGUGCUCUUUACUUACGUCCUUGCUCCUUCUCACCCCAAUCAAGUUUGACUAUGUGGCCCCAGCCAACCAGACAGGAAAAUCGACCCUGUGCAUCUUUUACCUACACUGGAAUGACCAUUGGGCAAACCCCCUCCUUUUUCUACUGCAAGAGAGCCCAAAUUUCAAGGCAUGCUGCAGGUCCAAACAAGGAAAAGCAGAGGACAAAGAAGAGGAUAGGGAGGAACAAAG
rnacentral:lncRNA from 1 species